UGGGGAAUUGUUCGCAAUGGGCGCAAGCCUGACGACGCAACGCCGCGUGGAGGAUGAAGGUCUUCGGAUUGUAAACUCCUGUUGAUCGGGACGAACAUCCAUCGGGAUAACACCCCGGAGGACUGACGGUACCGGUUGAGGAAGCCCCGGCUAACUACGUGCCAGCAGCCGCGGUAAUACGGAGGGUGCAAGCGUUGUCCGGAAUUAUUGGGCGUAAAGAGCUCGUAGGCGGCUUGUCGCGUCUGCUGUGAAAACCCGGAGCUUAACUCCGGGCCUGCAGUGGAUACGGGCAGGCUAGAGCGCGGUAGGGGAGACUGGAAUUCCUGGUGUAGCGGUGGAAUGCGCAGAUAUCAGGAGGAACACCGGUGGCGAAGGCGGGUCUCUGGGCCGUUGCUGACGCUGAGGAGCGAAAGCGUGGGGAGCGAA
rnacentral:rRNA from 1 species